rnacentral:rRNA from 1 species
GCGUAGUCGAUGGAAAACAGGUUAAUAUUCCUGUACCUCACAUAACUGCGAUGGGACGACGGAGAAGGCUAGGUCAUCCGGAGAUUGGUUGUUCCGGUAUAAGCGAGUAGGGAGUAUUCUUAGGCAAAUCCGGGAAUACAAUCCUGAGACGUAAUGUCGAGCCCCUUUUGGGGCGAAGUGAUUGAUGCCAUGCUUCCAAGAAAAAUCCCUAAGCUUCAGGUUAUGUAAGACCGUACCCCAAACCGACACAGGUGGGCUGGUAGAGUAUACCAAGGCGCUUGAGAGAACUAUGUUGAAGGAACUCGGCAAAAUGCUCCCGUAAGUUCGCGAGAAGGG